rnacentral:tRNA from 1 species
UCCCUGGUGGCUCAGAUGGUAAAGUAUCCGCUUUCAAUGCUGGAGACCCAGGUUCGAUCUCUGGGUGGGGAA